UACGAAGGGGGCUAGCGUUGUUCGGAUUUACUGGGCGUAAAGCGCACGUAGGCGGCCGACUAAGUCGGGUGUGAAAGCCCUGGGCUCAACCCAGGAAGUGCACUCGAAACUGACCGGCUUGAAUAUGGAAGAGGGUCGCGGAAUUCCCGGUGUAGAGGUGAAAUUCGUAGAUAUCGGGAGGAACACCAGUGGCGAAGGCGGCGACCUGGGCCAAUAUUGACGCUGAGGUGCGAAAGCGUGGGGAGCAAACAGG
rnacentral:rRNA from 1 species